UACGGAGGGGGCUAGCGUUGUUCGGAAUUACUGGGCGUAAAGCGCGCGUAGGCGGACCUGCAAGUCGGGGGUGAAAGCCCGAGGCUCAACCUCGGAACUGCCUUCGAUACUGCGGGUCUCGAGUCCGGGAGAGGUGAGUGGAAUUCCGUAGUGUAGAGGUGAAAUUCGUAGAUAUUAGGAAGAACACCAGUGGCGAAGGCGGCUAGCA
rnacentral:rRNA from 1 species